AACAUCUUACUUUGCCUCGGUUUACCUCUAUAGCACCUUUUUAACUCUACAACUUCAACCUCAAUAAGAUAUUAUUAUUUUAUUAUUAUUUAUCGCAUAUGAAAUAUUUAUUCUAAAAUAUUCCUUUCACCCUCCAACACUCUUAAACACUUCCAUUGGCCUCAAUUGACCUUCAUCUUAUCCUUAAUUUCAUAUUAGGCACCAUACCAAAGUACAAGGUGUUACAAUAACAAUUGGCAAGCUUGUUCAAUAUUGUUAAGUUUAUAAUUCUUUCACCCAUAGCAAGACUAGCAAAACAAAAUCCAAUAACCCAAUCACAAAUCCAGCAACAUUAUUUCAGUGACACCAAUGUUAAAACAAUCAAAUACAUGGCCAUCUCAAGCAACUCAAAAACUUAAAAGCAUGGAAAACAGCCAACAAAACCAAUAUCAACAUAUUCUCAACAAUACCAUUUAGUAGCAAUACCCUAAAUUCCAUAGAACAUAAAAUGCCUUUUUAAAGUAACAUAAGCAACUAAAGCAGGAACUUUACCUGUCGGAGGAGAAGAGAUCACACUGAAGAGAUCAAAGGAAAGAUGGUUGAACAGGAAAAGGGGCAAACGGGGGGCACCAAUGGAAUAGGAAAAUGGGGGGCAUCGAUGGAAGAGGUGAACAGGAGAAUGGGGGCCAAUGGAAAGGGGAAUGGAUCUAACCGACAAAAGGCUAGGUCAACAUUCAUCAGGCAGUGAAGUCAUGAAUGGGGCCUAGGGUGAGGGGUGGGGGGUAGAGAGACAUGAAGACACAAAAGAAAAAAGGAAAAUAAUUCGGAGGGAAACUUUUAGGGAAAAAAUAACGCGUGGGGGUUUAAAUUUUGAUUAAUGAAAAAAUUUCUCGUUGGUGAUUAUUUUUAAACCACAUAAGGAAUUUCCAUCAGCAACAUUGCCCACCUUCCAAAUUGUAUCACCGAUCGACAUUUUGUCAGCAAUUUGGUCGAUGAUUACCAACCAAACAUUCAAUGGGUACUUUGGUCGAUACUGUCCAUCAGUGAAGACAUAGUCAAUAAAAUUAUUUUGUCAGGAAACUUCGUGCCACCUUAAUUGAUUGCAUGCCAUUGUUUUACAAAUAAAAUACCAAUAGAGUUAACUCCGUCAGCAUAUUUUGUCGAUAUUCCUUCGAUAAUCCAUCAAUAAUGCGUGGUGUCUAUAUCCGUCGGUAAUCUGUCAAUGUUUUGUCAUUAAAUACCAACAAAAUGUUACUGACAGAAUCAAUUUUGUCAGUAAUACUCUGUUUUUUGUAGUGAAAACAGAUAACUAAAUAUUAGAUAAUCUAAGGUGGGCUUUAUCUCUCUUUUGCUUUGACUAGCUAAUGAGCAAUGAUCUUAGCAUGGUGGUAGGUCGAGUCAUUUAGGAUUCAUGUCUAGGCAUUAAAGAGAUGGUAACAAAUAAUCUAAAACAUUGUAACCUAGAUUAUGAUUUUUUUCCCAAUCAAGCAAGUUUACUUUAUUUUUCACGAAUACAAACAAAUUUUCCUUUUCAUAAAAUAAUUGAACAACAAAACAAGCCAGAUGAUUAGAACAACUUCAAUCAGCAGGAAAGAUUUAUUUGAUUUCUCUAAGAUGAUUUAGUAAGUUUUAAUUUUAAACCUUAAAUUAGAUGAUUUAGUUUGUUUAAACAUAAAACAUUUGUUCUAUUAGAGUAGGGAAGAAAGUAAUUAGUGUUAUAUGAAUAUAUGUGUGAAUGUCCAUUAUGUCACGGUCCAAGAGUUUAGAUUAGGCCAAGCUGUCUACAUAGGCCAAACAUCUUAACAGGCUAGACAUAUAAGUGUAAUAUGAUUCAAACUCUUAGAUUUGAUUAUGUAUAUCUAGAUUUAGUUGUAGAUUAAUUAGAUUGGAUUAAGAUUAGGAUUUAAUUCAAAUAUUUCCAUCCAAAUUAAAUCCUUUAUUAUAAUCUUUAUAUUGUAAAUUCUAUCUAAAUAAAAAAUAAUUAGCCUAUAAACAGGGCCCUCACUACAUUUGUAAAUACACACUUGAAUGAGAUCUUUUGUAUUUGAUUCGUACAUUUCUCUUAUAUUUAUUCUUUUAGGUAUAUUUUACAACAUGUAAUCAACACGAUUCUCUAAUCUUUCAAGUUUUGGUACAAUUUAGUUUUCACCAUCAUAUCAAAGUUGAAGUUCCAUUUCUUCAAGCUUCAAAAGGAAUUCAAUAGUUGGUCUUUGAUUUUUAGUUUUAGCAAAUCAAGUAAGUUGUCACAACUCGGAACUCCCCUCAAGCCCAUGACAACUGCCGCAGUACCUCAAUGGGCACUCAUCUCUCGGAAUGUCAACCAAAACCCCGCAAGGCUUCUCAUUUCCCCCGGUGAGUAACCGUUGCCAAAUUUUAUGUUCUAAAGGAUUUUGAGCUAUUUCCAACUUAAAACUGAUAAAAUAAAAAUUUUUAUCUCAUAGGGGUAUUUUGGUCAUUUUCCACUAAAAAUUUCGAAACCAGUUAAAAAUGUAGUAAACAAGUACCAAUCGGAUAAUUCACAAUUAAAAAUAAGUUUAAGCAUCUAAAACCUUUAUUUAAAAUGAAAUUAUAAAUAUUUAAAUAUAAUGACAAGAUAAAACAAAAUAUUCAAUAAAACAUUUUAUUUUCUUAUAAACAGUAAUUUUAGAAUUAUACGUAAAUACUUUUUGUAACAUAAAAGUAAAAUAAUUUCAUUCAUACUGUGACACAGUAAACCAAUGCAUUUAAAUUAAUUUAAUCUAAUUUACAAUAUCAAGUGAUCUCCAAUUACUCUAUUUUUCAAAAUCAUCAUUCAAUUUUAAAACAAUUUAUAACAUCUUUUCAUGUAGACACGUUUUGUUUAUAAAACUCAAGAUUUACCAUUUAAUUUCAUUUUCAUAAAAUCUCAUCAAAAUUGAUUAAAAACAUACUUUAGAUAAUAAAAAUGAUGGUAAGGUUACUCACAGUACUAAGAGUUCGAUAUACUCCUAUUCCCGGUCUUCGGGCACAAUCUCUUUACCCUUAUUUGAGGGCUCACCACCUAUACAUCAUACGUGACACGAAUUUCAAUAAAUUGUGUCAAUUUAUCAUAAACUAUUUCAGGCUCUCUAAAUCUAAAUGAAUGCAUGCGAAUGGGAUGCAAAAUGUCUGAUUAAUCACUUAAAUGUGAUAUUCGACCUAAAUCACACUAUAAUCGGCCUAAUCGGCUAAAAUCUCCAAUUUAACUCCAAAUCAAUUCUUCUCACUUUCUACACUCCAAUUAUACCUAAAUUACCUCAGUGACUGUGAAUGAAAUUCAAUUUAUCAGUCUCGGGUCAAUAAUCACACAUGUCUACACAUUAGGUAAAAAUUCAUAUUUUCACACCAAAUUUUCCCAUUUAAUUUCUAGCCUAACCAAACAUCAAAUAUCACCCAAAUAUCAUGAAAUAUCAUCAAUUUCAGCCACAAUAUCCUCCCUAGAAAAUUCGGCCAAUAAUGGUGAUGGGGGAAAAUGAAUUUUUUUCUUGUUGUUUUGUUUCUAAAUAUGUUAAACUAACUAAAAACACUAACAUAACUUAAAAUCAAAUUAAUCUAACUUCAUUCUCUCUCCAUACCCAUUUGGGCAGCCAUGAAUUCACAAUGAAAACAUGAAAUCUAACCAAGGAAAAUAGGGAGAAAAGCAUGGGAAAGGUAGAUCACAAGUCAAAAUCAAGAAAUUUUACCUUUGAUUGCUUGAUUCCUUAAAAUCCCACACUUUUUCUUUAAUUUUCCCACCUAGUUUUCUUGUUUUUCUUUUCCUCUCUUUGUUCUUGCUAUGGC
rnacentral:lncRNA from 1 species